ACAAAGAGAGUAGCGCACUGGUGAGUAACACGUGGGAACGUACCUUGAAGUGGGGAAUAGCGUCUGGAAACGGACGAUAAUACCGCAUAAUCCCUGAGGGGGAAAGAUUUAUCGCUUUAAGAACGGCCCGCGGAAGAUUAGGUAGUUGGUGGGGUAAAGGCCUACCAAGCCUACGAUCUAUAGCUGGUCUGAGAGGACGAUCAGCCACAUUGGAACUGAGACACGGUCCAAACUCCUACGGAAGGCAGCAG
rnacentral:rRNA from 1 species